ACGAAAACAGCUGAUAGUAUUGUGAACGUUGCCCUUAAAAAUACAUAACCCUAACUUAGUUUCGUUAACCUUAAAUGCCCAGGUUUGAUAAUUUUGCUUCUUAGAAAUACAUAAAAUAUAAUAACUUAAAAAUUACAAAACCUUGAAAGUAGUUAAUUUCUGAUAUUCAUUUCGAGUCAUAUCUUGCACACACCGAUGGCAAAUGCCCUUGUCGGACUAGUAAUGCGCAGUCUGAUGACUAAAUCGAAGACGUAUACCUAACAAAAAUUCUCCCCAUUUAGUAAAAGCAGAAUUUUGCAUAUCUGUGCUGAACAAAAAUUACCUGAAAUGAGUUUAUUAUUAAAUAAAAUCAUCUUACAAUUAUUAUACUGCAAUGGAGCACGACAACUAUGGGUACACACGUUAUGCAUUCAUGACAUAAAGAGCUUCCACUUGUGAUGUUUGCGUUAUGGGGUGUCAUCAUCUAGGAAUUGUGAAAAUUUUGCAGAGGAUGAUGCUGUCAUUGGUGAGCCCUUCUUCUUGCUUGUAGCAGUUAUUAAAUUGCAAGGAGCAUUGUGAUAGAAUGGCGUCUGUUAUGUUCUCUCUUUCUGUGGUUGUGUGUUGUGAUGGUUUAGUAUGGUCUGUUUUAUGGUGGUGACUUUCCUUAUUGGUAUGUAUUUUUAUAAUUCUUUGUCAGCGGUAUAUGCUCAAACUGUGAUGAACUUGUUUGUAGCAUUACAGUGGUAGUUCCGGCAUGCAGCCACCAAGGAAUAGUGAUUCUGGCUGGAAAUCAUAGAAGUAUCAGGUUUCAGAAAUUAAGUUUCAUCCCUGUUGUGACCAGCUGACAAAGAGAAAGACUCUUGCGGCGCAUCAGCCACCAAGGGAUGGGAUGUGUGUGUCUCAUCGCCACUGAGCUGCAUGUGCACCACCACCAAGGUUUGAAUGUGCAUCACAUAAGGAUGUGUGAUGAAGCAGAACAAAAAUGGCCCAAUGCCAAAGACCAUGGCUUUCCAACUGAGAAGCAAAACUUGUAUGAACAAGAGCAGAUGAGUAUUCAGACAUAUGAGAG